CAUCCUCCAAGGCUAAAUACUCCUGACUGACCGAUAGUGAACCAGUACCGUGAGGGAAAGGCGAAAAGAACCCCGGCGAGGGGAGUGAAAAAGAACCUGAAACCGUGUACGUACAAGCAGUGGGAGCCCCACCACCAAAGCAUUCUCUGGUGUUGAAGGCCCUGCAAAGCAGCAUCGCGGUGGCGGAGCGUCGUUUGCGACGCCCAACACACAAAACAAGCGGUGAGUGCUUUGGGGUGGGGUGACUGCGUACCUUUUGUAUAAUGGGUCAGCGACUUAUAUUCUGUAGCAAGGUUAACCGCAUAGGGGAGCCGGAGGGAAACCGAGUCUUAAUUGGGCGUUAAGUUGCAGGGUAUAGACCCGAAACCCGGUGAUCUAGCCAUGGGCAGGUUGAAGGUUGGGUAACACUAACUGGAGGACCGAACCGAC
rnacentral:rRNA from 1 species